AAAUGACAAGAGAAAGAAAGAAGAGAAGAGAAGAGAAACUUAGGCUAGAAAGAAGAAAGAGCUACGGUUUUGGGAGGAAAAAAAGGUUCAAGAGACGACGAGGCGAGCAUAGUUAAGAGUAAUCCGUAAGAGGUACAGACGAUUGGUUUGCUGAUCCGCUCGCUUAGGACAUCCACCAUGUUGGUCGACAGUGCUCCUUUGUUCGGAGUCCU